rnacentral:rRNA from 1 species
UACGUAGGGUGCAAGCGUUUGUCCGGAAUUAUUGGGCGUAAAGAGCUCGUAGGCGGCUCGUCACGUCGGCUGUGAAAACCCGGGGCUCAACCCCGGGCCUGCAGUCGAUACGGGCGAGCUAGAGUUCGGCAGGGGAGACUGGAAUUCCUGGUGUAGCGGUGAAAUGCGCAGAUAUCGGGAGGAACACCCGUAGCGAAGGCGGCACUCUGGGCCGGAACUGACGCUGAGGAGCGAAAGCGUGGGGAG